AAAGAUAGUAUAAAUUGUGUUAUUUGAUAUAUUCAGCCUACAAGCAGCCACAUCAGAUUGACAUGGUUGAGGUCAAACACACGUUACAGAAUAAAAUGAGAUUAUACGUACUAUUUGCUACGUGUGUGUUAUCAGUCAUUUGUACACCCACAGGUGAUUAUUGCACGGCUCCAUUUUAGCGAAUUGGUAAAUGUUGUUACUUUAUAAGUAACGAAAAAGGUGACUGGAGAUGCUGCUGCAUAUGUACUAUGUGCUGAUCGCGGAGCAUAUCUUGCCAAUUUUGGAACCUUAGAAGAAGCCAUGAGGAUGAAAUACGAACUGUUAGUCGGAAAAACAGGUCUACUCUACUACAUUGGUGGUCGUAAGAUGAACAGAAACAUUGCUGGAGGUGAUUGGAAGUGGUUCAAAAACGGAGAGAGGUCCAACAUUACGUAUUUCCUUUUUCCAAAAAGCCAGCCAAAUGGAAGUUCUCAAGACCCGCAGGACUGUUUGUCAUUCUGGUCUCCGGAGUAUAACUUCAAUGAUAUUCAUUGUGAUCACAGCAACCUUUAUGGAGGAUACAUUUGUGAAAAAUAACAAAUAAGAUCGAAUCCUGUAUUAGUUGAAAAGAUGAAUGCCUUUCAAGCAGUUAGAUUAAAACAAAAUGUAUAUAUACUAGUAUAUAAAUUCCUGGGAAAUAUAGUUAAAUAGAAUGUUGUCUUAUAAGUCUUUGAAAAAAUCCAGUUUAGUAUAUCUUAAAUUAAGGAAUAUAUUUCCAUCAUCAAUACAUGUAGCUCUGAGUUCUGUCCGGGUUUUCGCUAGCUAUACUUUUUGGUAAUUUUCGGUUAUAUCAGCUCUUCAAAGUUUCUAAUGGGUUUUGGACUUCAAAUAAUGUAGCCACCUUAUUUAGUAAAGUUCCGCUUUUUAUCGUUUUUAUUCUUUUAUCAUUUGAAAUUGUGGAUCCGCAAUUAUAAUGGAAUUUGUCAUUGCGCUAUUUAAAAGCUACUAAUUGUAUUUUAUUAAUAUAUAUUUUGCUAAAUAAUAUUUCAAUAAUAUCAAUAUUCAGUAAAUGUUAUUUCAUCUCCUAGUUGAUGGUAUUCACUAUUAAAAAACACCCAUCAAAGA